UACAGAGGUCCCGAGCGUUGUUCGGAUUCACUGGGCGUAAAGGGCGCGUAGGCGGGCCUCCAAGUCCGGGGUGAAAGCCCCCAGCUCAACUGGGGAAGCGCCUUGGAUACUGGGGGCCUCGAGGGGGGUAGGGGCGCGCGGAACUUCCGGUGGAGCGGUGAAAUGCGUAGAUAUCGGAAGGAACAUCAGUGGCGAAAGCGACUUCCUGGACCAGUACCGACGUUCAGGCACGAAAGCGUGGGGAGCAAACAGG
rnacentral:rRNA from 1 species